AUUGAACGCUUGCGGCAGGCCUAACACAUGCAAGUCGAGCGAGCGGCGGACGGGUGAGCAAUGUCUGGGACACUGCCUGAUGGAGGGGGAUAACUACUGGAAACGGUAGCUAAUACAGCAUAUCAUCAGAUGUGCCCAGCGGGGGUGAGAUAGUAGGUGGGGUAACGGCUCACCUGGGCGCCGAUCCCCAGCUGGGCUGUGAGGAUGACCAGCCACACGGGAACUGAGACACGGUCCAGACUCCUACGGUAGGCAGCAGUGGGGAAGAUUGCACAAUGGGCGAAAGCCUGAUGCAGCCAUGCCGAGUGUGUGAAGAAGGCCUUCGGGUUGGAAAGCACUUGCAGCGGGGAGGCGUUACCCGCAGAAGAAGCACCGGCUAACUCCGUGCCAGCAGCCGCGGUAAUGC
rnacentral:rRNA from 1 species